rnacentral:rRNA from 1 species
UACGUAGGGGGCGAGCGUUGUCCGGAUUUACUGGGCGUAAAGAGCGCGCAGGCGGUCGUUCAAGUCGCGUGUGAAAGCCCCCGGCUCAACUGGGGAGGGUCACGCGAUACUGAUCGACUCGAAGGCAGGAGAGGGUAGUGGAAUUCCCGGUGUAGUGGUGAAAUGCGUAGAUAUCGGGAGGAACACCAGUGGCGAAGGCGACUACCUGGCCUGUUCUUGACGCUGAGGCGCGAAAGCUAGGGGAGCAAACGGG